rnacentral:rRNA from 1 species
AUUGAACGCUGGCGGCAGGCCUAACACAUGCAAGUCGAACGGUAGCACAGAGGAGCUUGCUCCUUGGGUGACGAGUGGCGGACGGGUGAGUAAUGUCUGGGAAACUGCCCGAUGGAGGGGGAUAACUACUGGAAACGGUAGCUAAUACCGCAUAACGUCGCAAGACCAAAGAGGGGGACCUUUGGGCCUCUUGCCAUCGGAUGUGCCCAGAUGGGAUUAGCUAGUAGGUGGGGUAACGGCUCACCUAGGCGACGAUCCCUAGCUGGGCUGAGAGGAGGACCAGCCACACUGGAACUGAGAAACGGUCCAGACUCCUACGGGAGGCAGCAGUGGGGAAUAUUGCACAAUGGGCGAAAGCCUGAUGCAGCCAUGCCGCGUGUAUGGAGAAGGCCUUCGGGUUGUAAAGUACUUUCAGCGAGGAGGAAGGCGUUGUGGUUAAUAACCGCAGCGAUUGACGUUACUCGCAGAAGAAGCACCGGCUAACUCCGUGCCAGCCGCCGCGGUAA